rnacentral:rRNA from 1 species
AAGAAGAAGAAGGACGUGGCGAACGACGAAAUGCCUCGGGGAGCCGUAAGCAGGCUUCGAUCCGGGGAUGUCCGAAUGGGGGAACCCGGCUGUGGUAAUGCGCAGUCACCUUGCAGUGAAUACAUAGCUGCAAUGGAGGCAUACCAGGGGAACUGAAACAUCUAAGUACCCUGAGGAAAAGAAAACAAAAGUGAUUCCGUCAGUAGCGGCGAGCGAAAGCGGAUUAGCCCAAACCGGAGAGCUUGCUCUCCGGGGUUGUAGGACCUCAAUGUGGCCCAUGCUUGUUAGGUGAAGAAGUCUGGAAAGGCUCGGCAAAGAGGGUAACAGCCCCGUAGCCAAAAACAAGCGCAAGCCUAGAGGGAUCCUGA